rnacentral:rRNA from 1 species
AUGUUAGCGGCGGACGGGUGAGCAACACGUGGGUAACCUACCUAUAAGACUGGGAUAACUCCGGGAAACCGGGGCUAAUACCGGAUAAUAUUUUGAACCGCAUGGUUCAAUAGUGAAAGACGGUUUCGGCUGUCACUUAUAGAUGGACCCGCGCCGUAUUAGCUAGUUGGUAAGGUAACGGCUUACCAAGGCGACGAUACGUAGCCGACCUGAGAGGGUGAUCGGCCACACUGGAACUGAGACACGGUCCAG